AUUACGGACUUUGCCUGAAUUCACGUCACAUAAUUUAUAUCACUAUAUCAUAAACGCCUGAAACAGGAGCAGCAUUAAAAACACAAAAGACGAGAAGCUAACCAGUUUGUUUUUUUCUUACACGCUGCUAGGCAACAUGACGGCGCAGCAGUGUUUCCAUGGUUACGGAUAGACGCGUAGCUUCUCCAUAACACAAUAUUUUGUGUUAUGAAGAAAUGAUUUUUACAUUUACCCAUGUUCUCUUUCUCUUGAAUUUGUGCAGUUAUGUGACAAAAUCUUUAAUCUGUAGAUAAACAUCUGAAUAUGAAGAUAACCUUAAGAUUUAGUCACAGAGAGUCCUUAAAGAAGUCCUUAAAACAAGAGUUUGGAGAUUUAAAAGUAGACUCCAUAUCUCUUCCGUUUUGUCAACCUUAUACUUUUUUUAGAGAAGCUCAGACAUCUGAAAGAGGAAGCGAGUAAAGACACACAGCGUGACAGGGAGUUUCUGUCAGACCAAAGAAAAAGACUUUAAUCUUCUCACAACAGCUAUCAACAAAUUGCCAUCUUGUCUUUACCUCUUCUCAAUGCCACCCGAAUACCAACCUGAUUUUCAAACACUGUCUAUUUUCCUCACCAAAUCAUGCACAUCCAACUAAAACUUGGCCGCCUGUCGUCUGAAACACUCAGAGGGACAACAUGCUCAAAGACGGACCUGCAGUCUAACGACCUGAAGCCCCCGCUAGGGUCAGAGCCAAGAGCACACAAAGAGUGAUUUGUGCGAGAGGCAGCAAAGGCUGACUCAACAGUUACAGGAGAAGGAAACAGUCUACAGGGGAAAUUUCAAGCAGCUUAGAAGCGUUAAAACACCAAAACAGUGACUUGAGUCAUCUAAAAGAGGCUGGAAAUGUCCAAAAAGAGCAAGACUGAUCUUCACAAGAUGACUGUCGAUCAUCUUGGUCUCCAGAGUAUUUUCUCCUCCCUGAUUGGAGGAAGUUAUCUGAACUUUUGGACCGAGAUGGAGGCUUUGGAUGCUCUCCGAACUUACUGAGCAGCUUGCUGACCCUUCCUCCCUUCUCAAUAAACACGUUAUCAUCACA